UAGAACAGUGUACAACAAAAGACAACACUAGUAGGUUACAGUGUCUCUGACUUUAGUGAGAUAUAUUUACAAAGGUGAAAUGACCCUUUCUAAGGCCCAAUCAUUCGCAAACUCAAAGUCUCCUAUUACGUUACAUAAGACUACUUGAGCAAGUUGAAAUAUAACAAGUAACAAUAUAGUGAACUCAUACUUUUUCUUAUUUUUUGCAGAAGACUUGUUUUCAAGGUGUAGCCAUGUCACCAACCGAUCGGCAGACACAUCCCAAUUCUCAAAGCGGUGACUCAGCGAGAACAUUUGACAACCUUUCACCCCACUCUGCACCUUGAACAUUUCAGUCUGGAUGAAGGAUACAGUUCUCGUCACCUGUCCGGUUCCUGGGUGGCCCGGGCAUAUUGAGGAGGACUAGCUUGGCCUCUGAGGACUUCUUGAUGAUGACUUCAUUCAGCCGGAGCGCUGUGUGCAUACGUCGCACAUUGGACUGGUUCCUGAGGAAGGAUGAAGUGAAGGGUUCAAAGUUCAACGAGCAUUUCAGAGCACUCACGGCUUCAUGUUGAAGAUGUCUUUGAUGCCCUCUGGUGUGGCUGCACCGGGCGGCUUGGCCGGCUCACCGUCGCACUUCUCGGUCCAUGUCAUCUGGACCUGCUCCCCGGGACUCUGAGCUGCCUCUGCAGGGGUCAGCGGGGUGGCCGGGGUGGCUGGGCUGGCUGGGUUGGUGUUGUCGUGGAUGAGCUGGACCUGAUCAGGGGGGAGACAGGGGGAGAGGCCGACUUUGACUAUGAGACGAGAGGAAAAGAGGACGGAUGUGGAUUUACAUGUACAUGUACAUUACAUGGACAGAGUAACGGUUGAGGUGGAAACGUUGGAAUGCAGGCUUCUCCUCCUUGCUGGCUGCUGGUGGCUCUUCGGUCACACUCAGCUGAGUGGUCACAGCGGCCGGGUUCUUACGGCGGAUUGACCCGCGGGAAUGAUCAGUGAUACUCUGGAUCUGUGAUGACACAGAGGAAGCAGAGCAAAGGAGGAGAGAUGAGACCCAGGCAGACUUAAAGUUCAACAGAGAAUGUGGAGGAGGAUUUAAUCAUAUAAUACCUCCAGGAUCGAUAUCUUUUAUAUCCCCCAUGUGUCAAAAUGCCAUCAUGCCGUCAUGCAUUAAAGGAGCGUGGCUGUUGCUGUGGCUUCAGUCAUCACUGACAGAGAGGCGUUCUCCUAAAGUGGUUCAUCAAAGUCUAGUCUUGACGAAACAUACCAUUUCUACAACUUCCACCAUGGCGUCGAUACGGAGGUGAUACAAGAAUGUGGUCAGGUCCUUCUUCAUCUGGAUGCUGUUGUCGUCCAACUGGGCCACGUACCUUGUGCUGGCGGAGGAGGAAUGGCAGCAGCAUCAGCAUGCCUCCAUCAUGGACAAUCCACCACACGUCAAUGUGACCCUCAGUGAAGCGCUCUCCAUUGGACGGGAAGGCUGAGAUGUUCUUCGGGACGAGUAGAGCAUGUUCCUCCAGGUCUGGUGCUCAUCUCCUUGCUUCCAGUUGCGUGGCCAGGACACCAGCACAGCGUUGUGUUUCAGGCCUCCCAGCCCACUGGCCUGGAGGAGGUGGGAGGUAGCGUCACGAAGGUUUGAGGACACCGUCACUUGACAGAAACCCUUCACCUUCUCCGUCUCCAUCAGUUUAUGCAGCGCCUAGAGAGACGAGACGAAGAGACGCUGUUAUUGAGGAGCAGAGAACUCUUGAAAAGCUAGCUUAGUGUUGGCCUCAGGAUGACACGUUGUUUUUCCUGUGGAGCUCAGACAUAUUACAUCCUAGAAGAUCAAACUGUGGAAAAAUAUUAAACAUUUCCACACA